AUAGAGAUAGACAGUUAUUAGAGAAACUGCACUGGACCUUACUGGGGUUCACUGGCCAUGCAGCGAUCCUGUUUUAGCACGACUACACUGUAAGAAAUGAGGGUUAAAUCUACUGUUCUCAUUCUGUGCAAAAUGCUGUCUAAAGUUCAGCCGCAGCUAACAUGAGGUCUCAGUAGUCUCAGUUAGACUGAGUGGGUAUCUUUGUCCUGGUAGCUGUGUGUAGGUUUACUGCCAGUGUUGUGUCUCGGCCAGAAACCUACAUACUAUCAGGACGUAUCCCUCCGAGGCCCUAUUUGUGACCUCAGCACUUCCUGUGUUACUCCGUGAUUUGGUUCGUGUUCUACGCAAAUCUUAGGAGAGAUGUGUUCAGAUGUCCUCCUCCCCAGCUCGUUCUCAGCUGUGCAGUAAUACUCUCCAGAGUCAGAGGACUGGAUGGACCUGAAGACAAGCUCUGCUUCAUUAAUGAGAGAGGGACUCGCUGACACAGAGGAGGUCUUUGGAGCAUCUGGAGGAGAUAUGAACAUGCGUUACUUAUAGGGUCAGUGUGCAGGAUUUAGUGGCAUCUAGCGGUGAAAUUGUAGUUUUCAACCAUUUGAAUACCGCUCGCCUCGUGGCAGACUCCGUGGAAGAGGACCCGCUCCCUCUGUAGAUAUAAAGGACUUAUUCUAAGACGUAGGAAAGACGACCAGCUGGACUGCAGCUGCUGUGACACUUCAGCUCUGCCUCGGUAUAACUCUGAUGGACUGCUAUUCUGCUCACCUGCACCUGCAGAGCUGGUUAUGAGAACAAGAAAACAAUAUUAUUA